AUUCUCACUGGGAUGCCACAGCUCUGGAGACUUCUUAUAGAUGUUGUUUGGAACACUCCAGGCUUGGAGAUGGGCCUUUAGACACUGCCUGUAGUACUGCUUAGCAACAGCUCUACAGACAUAAAGAGAUUGCAGUGGCUGCUCCUUCCUGGCUCCACCAUUCAGCAAGAGCUCCACAGGUAAUCUGAUGACCAUGAUUGUAGCAAUAAGGCUCUAUGGCUUAGAGUCUUGGCUCUGGAGCACUUUAAAAGAUAGAGUCAGAAUUUAGUUGUUUGGGCUCAAAUAAAAUUUGACUUUCCAGAGUACUGAAAAUAAAAGAAAAUGUUUAUUUCUAGUAUUUUUAUUGUAAAGUGGUAAAAACUGUCUCAAGAUAGUUGUAGGUGCUGAAGUGAUCAAGGAAGUAACUAGUUAUAAGCAGAUUAUAAAAAACUAAACCUAUGGUAGCCAACCUUUGAUUCUCUGUAUCUCAAAGUGACCUCUCUCUGAGGACAUUAAUUUGAAUCUUCCUCUGGUGUGAUGAAAAAAGAAAUUCUUAUUUUCAUUUUGCUUUGUAAGGAAUUUCUUUACCCUUUCCUAUGCUUAUCAGCAUAUCGUUUUCAAAAUCAGCUUAGCAGACCGACUGUGACCUUCCAAUUGAAAUGAAACAUCUUCCUUUUUAUCAACCGAAGAAUUUUCAUUGGUUCAUACCGGAUGACUCACUUUACAGUAAAUUCCAAGUCUGUGGCCAGAAAAUUUGUGAGUCUGAGUCAGAUAGACAAGAACCUUAAUAAAACAGGAGCCAAUGGCCCUGGCAUUCCGCUCAGCAGUGCCUUGAAAACACAGGCACUAAUAAACUGCUUUGUGAAUUGUCUUUCUGGGAAUAUCUGUAUGUUGCAGAAGGCUCGUUCUCCCUGCAGAAGCCUCUAUGCUCUCCUGUGAGAGGGCUGGGAAGCAGGACUUGCUGUGCUCUUGUUCUUUAAUCACUUGUGAGGCAACACAGGGUAAUAUUAUUGUAUCAUCUGGCCAGCUGACAGGAAGAGAUUAAAAAUUAUUUCAACAGCAAUACAUUGAAACUCCAAAGUAGUCCAGGGCAUUGCGGUGACCUUCAACGAACCCUUGCUAUAUGACUCAGAAGCAAGAUGCAGCCAAGUUGGGGCCAAGAUGGAUUUUGAGAAAAGGCAAAUUCUGACUUUUCUGCCUCACUGGAUUCAGCAUCUCCUGCUUACCCAGAGCUGUCUGAAACAGCACGAGAAACUAGCGGAGUCUCAUAAAGUGUGUUACUAAAAAAGCUUAGAGGACAUUUAUUUUAAAUGAGAAGAAUUACUGCUCAUGGUGGUUUAAAAUCCUAAUGGUCACUGUGGGUCUCCUCUGAAUACCAAAUCUCCUUGUUGAGCACUUGCUGUGUGCUUCUCGACAAAAAUGGAAACCCGAGUCAAAAGGAUAGCCUUGAAGUCUCUUUCCUCCUUUGUCCCCUCCACGUGGCAGAGCGUAUUUUUGUAGUUUGAGAUCAAGUCUGCCAGCUUGCAUUAGCAUAUCAUCCGCCUGGUUACCAAGAAAAUGUGCCUGAAGAAGAAAAACAAGAGCGUGUUCGCGGUCAUUAGGCUCACAUCAUGAGCAUGAAUCAGCAGUUUGGAAUUUGCGAGGCUGGGGCUGAAGUAGGCUGGGGAGCCAGCAGAGCCAGCAGAGUGGGCAGGAGAACUCCAGGCUGCCUGACUGCCCCUUGCCUCCUCCUCAAGUGCAGCGCAGCCACCCCUGGUUAAGGAAAAGGCUGAGAGACCCAUGACGCAAGGAUGUCCUAAUCCCUGCAUGUCUGCGUUUUCCUGACUUCUUUAACAAAUGUUGACCAUCUGUAAAGGCAAAAAACGCCUUUGAUAGUAGUUAUAUAUGAAUCUUUGUAUUUGAAAGAAACAGAAAUUAAUGCAAAAAAAUUAAUUUACUCUGAUUUGCUUUGGACAUUUUCUAUCAUUGGUGUUUGAAAGCAAUACUAGUAUGCAGAUACUAGUGUGGCUGAUUUAUGCCAUGCACAAUAAAUAUACAAGAGAUGAAAGAUAAUUUUAAACUCCUGUAAUGCUAGCAGUAAUGUAGAUAAUUGACAAUCUGUCUUUUCGCUCCUACACCUCGUGUGCAUAAAACAAUGCCCACCUUGCAAUAAACACUCAGGAAAUGAUUAAUAAAUUAAGUCUGUCU
rnacentral:lncRNA from 1 species